rnacentral:rRNA from 1 species
CGCUGGCGGCAGGCCUAACACAUGCAAGUCGAGCGGAUGACGGGAGCUUGCUCCCUGAUUCAGCGGCGGACGGGUGAGUAAUGCCUAGGAAUCUGCCUGGUAGUGGGGGACAACGUCUCGAAAGGGACGCUAAUACCGCAUACGUCCUACGGGAGAAAGUGGGGGAUCUUCGGACCUCACGCUAUCAGAUGAGCCUAGGUCGGAUUAGCUAGUUGGUGAGGUAAUGGCUCACCAAGGCGACGAUCCGUAACUGGUCUGAGAGGAUGAUCAGUCACACUGGAACUGAGACACGGUCCAGACUCCUACGGGAGGCAGCAGUGGGGAAUAUUGGACAAUGGGCGAAAGCCUGAUCCAGCCAUGCCGCGUGUGUGAAGAAGGUCUUCGGAUUGUAAAGCACUUUAAGUUGGGAGGAAGGGCAUUAACCUAAUACGUUGGUGUUUUGACGUUACCGACAGAAUAAGCACCGGCU